rnacentral:tRNA from 1 species
GCCACUAUAGUCUAGAGGUUAGGACGUUGGCCUCUCACGCCGAAGACCCGGGUUCGAUUCCCGGUGGUGGUGCCA